rnacentral:rRNA from 1 species
GAUGAACGCUGGCGGCGUGCUUAACACAUGCAAGUCGAACGGUGAAGCAGAGCUUGCUCUGUGGAUCAGUGGCGAACGGGUGAGUAACACGUGAGCAACCUGCCCCUGACUCUGGGAUAAGCGCUGGAAACGGCGUCUAAUACUGGAUAUGAGCUGCGACCGCAUGGUCAGCAGUUGGAAAGAUUUUUCGGUCUGGGAUGGGCUCACGGCCUAUCAGCUUGUUGGUGAGGUAAUGGCUCACCAAGGCGUCGACGGGUAGCCGGCCUGACAGGGUGACCGGCCACACUGGGACUGAGACACGGCCCAGACUCCUACGGGAGGCAGCAGUGGGGAAUAUUGCACAAUGGGCGAAAGCCUGAUGCAGCAACGCCGCGUGAGGGAUGACGGCCCUCGGGUUGUAAACCUCUUUUAGCAGGGAAGAAGCGAAAGUGACGGUACCUGCAGAAAAAGCGCCGGCUAACUACGUG